UGCUGACAUGAGGCUCCAUUGGUGCACACCUAUGGCCUCAUGGGCCAAGUGCUGUCAAUGUUGCAGAUCUCUAGCUAUGCAUCCAUCAUCCUCAAAGCCACCUUGUCUUAACUUGGGCCAUUUGUGCCAGUACAAGGUCCCACUCACAGGCCUAACAGGUGACAUGUGGAGGCCCAAUUCUUAAUGCACAGUAUCCUUUCUUUUUAACCUUUGACAUGGUCCAAACAGCUCUAAUCUUAAGUUCCAUUGGGGUUUAUAUUUGAACCUUAAGAUUCCACAAGUUGAUUUGCUUUCACAUAUUCUCAUCCAUCCACAAGUGAUCAUCGCAACUGAAUAGCAAAUGCAGCAAGUAUACAUGCAAAUAUGGGAAGGAAGCAUUGGUCAGAAACAUGCAAACAUCAUCAAUCAGCAAAAAACUAGCAUUAAUUAGUUGAAGGCAAACUCAGAAAAGAUUUUAAUUAUUUUCUGACAAGUUUGAGUGGGAGUAUAAAAGAAUAAAUAAGCUUAAAACAUCGUGUUUACAAUUAAUACAGAAUCACUAAUAGACCUAACACCAAAUCCACCAACCUAGCUAACCCAUAAAAUUAGGUGAGUGUCGUGUCUAAGCAACAUAACUGAAACCCAAACCCGAAUUAUUGCCGCCCAUAACUUUGGCUGCACCAUGGAAGAAGGCACCUCUAGUGUUCCCAUCUAAUGUAAAUUAUGUAGCUACAAAUUAAAGUAAAUCUUAGUUUGUCAGCUCAAAAGACAGCAUAGGCUUACCCUAAUCACUGCAUUGAUCAGUAUCUCAGUCAAAUUAUCGUUUGAUUUGGAAAGAGGGAUAUUCUUUUACUCCCACCAAAAAUGGAAUCCGAUGUCCUAAAUCUGCAACCUUGUGUCCUGCAUUUUUCCCUUUAUCUUUUAAAUACAAGAUGCCAUAUGUUCUUUAAAGGAGAUACCAUACCUGCAGAUAUGGGAGUGAGGUUCAAUCAAGGUGUCUGCAAGCAGGCUAUAGUUGGGCCUUCCUCCAUCUCUUCCUUUCCUUCCUAGUGGUGUCCAGCUUAUUUUUUUUGAAUCUCAAUCCAAACUCUAGAGCUAUGUUCAUUGUGCCUGCCUUCUCAUUCACAGCGUGUACGGGACUACCUGGUGCAAAGGCAUGAUUGAACCUCACAUAUUUUUGGGCAGUGCUAUCCGGCCUAACUUGUUUAAAUCUGUUAUUAAAGCUAAGGUUCCAUGUCGCUUUGAUGCUACCAAACAUGCAGAUAUGCAGAUUUUCUUAAAAUAAGUAGUAUAGUUUUUGAGGAA